rnacentral:tRNA from 1 species
GAGGGUACAGCUCAGUGCUAAAGCACAUGCCUAGCAUGCAUGAAGUCCUGGGUUCAAUCCCCAGUACCUUCA